CAGCAGAAUGGUUGGGAAGUCGUUCACAAAGAGAGUAAGAGCAUAGACUCCUACCUGCAGCAUGCUCAGAAGAAAGGUCAUGUGAGGACACAGCCAGAAGGCAGCCAUCUGCAAGCCAGGAAGAGAGGCCUCACCAGGAACCAGCGCUGGCACCUUGAUCUUGGACUCCAGCCUCCAGAACAGUGAGAAAAUGAAUUUCUGUGAUUAAAGCCACCCAGCCUGUGUCA